rnacentral:rRNA from 1 species
AAUCAACGCUGGCGGCGCGCCUAACACAUGCAAGUCGAACGAGAAAGUGGAGCAAUCCAUGAGUACAGUGGCGUACGGGUGAGUAACACGUGGAUCAUCUACCUUUUAGUGAGGAAUAACCAAGGGAAACCGUGGCUAAUACCGCAUAAGUCCGAGAGGAGAAAGCAGCAAUGCGCUGGGAGAGGAGUCCGCGGCCGAUUAGCUAGUUGGCAGGGUAAAAGCCUACCAAGGCAAAGAUCGGUAGCCGGCCUGAGAGGGCACACGGCCACACUGGCACUGAAACACGGGCCAGACUCCUACGGGAGGCAGCAGUGGGGAAUCUUGCACAAUGGGGGAAACCCUGAUGCAGCGACGCCGCGUGAGCGAUGAAGCCCUUCGGGGUGUAAAGCUCUUUCGGCAGGGAAGAUUAUGACGGUACCUGCAGAAGCAGCUGCGGCUAACUACGUGCCAGCAGCCGCGGUAAUACGUAGGCAGCGAGCGUUGUUCGGAGUUACUGGGCGUAAAGGGUGUGUAGGCGGUUGCUUAAGUUUGGUGUGAAAUCUCCCGGCUCAACUGGGAGGGUGCGCCGAAUACUGAGUGACUCGAGUGCGGGAGAGGAAAGUGGAAUUCCUGGUGUAGCGGUGAAAUGCGUAGAUAUCAGGAGGAACACCGGUGGUGUAGACGGCUUUCUGGACCGUAACUGACGCUGAGACACGAAAGCGUGGGUAGCAAACAGGAUUAGAUACCCUGGUAGUCCACGCCCUAAACGAUGCAUAUUUGGUGUGGGUCAUUCAGUUGAUCCGUGCCGGAGCUAACGCGUUAAAUAUGCCGCCUGGGGAGUACAGUCGCAAGGCUG